rnacentral:lncRNA from 1 species
AAUGAUUUUUUGCAAAUACAUUGCAUGUAUUUAUGGCGCGAAAUGUUCUCGAGGGCAAGAAAAUAUUUGGCGGUAAACCAGAGACAGCUUUAGGCCCUGUUUUUUAGUCCAUUUUGGCCCUUUUGACUAAACUUUAGUCCACUGUUUUUAUGCACUUUUAGUCCCUAACACCUAGACAGGUGGACUAAAGUUUAGACUAAAGACUUUAGUCCUCUAGUCCACAAAACUGGACUAAAGGGUGUUGGGGACACCUUGCCCCUCAUUUAUUACCCUCCCUCCCAUCCAGCUCUCCCUCCUGCCGCGUCCCGCCUGGCCCCUGCCGCCCUCCCUACCUCUGCCCUCCCACCUGACCCCGCCGUCGCCCUCGGUGACGGGUCCAUCACCUUCCGCUGCCGCGUGAUGGAGAGGCUGGCAGCGGUGCUCCACCUCUCUAC